rnacentral:sRNA from 1 species
CCUCAAAAUAAUUCUCCGCAUAUCAGAUAUAUAUCAACUUAACUGAGAAUAGCGAUUAGUGCAAUAGUUUCAAAUUAAAGAAUGAUGUCCUACAAGUAAACAGCCUAUUAAUUUCUCAGGGACAAAUCUGUCAGUAAACCUCGGAAACAGGCGUUUCGGUAUCUAAAUACAAUCCAAACUUAGUCAUAUGUAGGGUUUACUGUUUAGGUAAGCGAGCGAAAUUAACCGAAAAAGUGUUAUAGCCCAACAUUGUUGCAUUGAUUAUAGCUCAAAACUCAUGAUAAAACCUGUCCCAAGUGUUUGCCAAAAAAAGACAUGUUCCAAGUAAAAUUACUAG